GCUAGCUUAGUUGGUAAAGCAUGAAACUCUUAAUCUCAGGGUCAUGGGCUCGAGCCCCAUGUUGGGCA
rnacentral:tRNA from 1 species